rnacentral:rRNA from 1 species
UACGGAGGGUGCAAGCGUUAAUCGGAAUUACUGGGCGUAAAGCGCGCGUAGGUGGUUUGAUAAGCGAGAUGUGAAAGCCCCGGGCUUAACCUGGGAACGGCAUUUCGAACUGUCAGGCUAGAGUAUGGUAGAGGGUAGUGGAAUUUCCUGUGUAGCGGUGAAAUGCGUAGAUAUAGGAAGGAACACCAGUGGCGAAGGCGGCUACCUGGACCAAUACUGACACUGAGGUGCGAAAGCGUGGGGAGCAAACAGG